GACGAACGCUGGCGGCGUGCUUAAUACAUGCAAGUCAACUGAACUUAAGAUAGCAAUAUUUUAAGGGAGGUGGCGCACGGGUGAGUAACACGUAGGUAAUCUGCCUUUAGGUCUGACACAACCCCGAGAAAUCGGGGCUAAUAUCAGAUGAUGCAGCGGCUCGACAUCGAGACAGUUGUUAAACCUUCGGGGCCUAAAGAUGAGCCUGCGUCUGAUUAGGUAGUUGGCGGAGUAAAAGCCCACCAAGCCUGCGAUCAGUAGCUGGUCUGAGAGGAUGAUCAGCCACACUGGAACUGAGACACGGUCCAGACUCCUACGGGAGCAGCAGUAAGGAUAUUGCUCAAUGCCGAAAGGCUGAAGCAGCAACGCCGCGUGGAGGAUGAAAUACUUUUGUAUGUAAACUCCUAGUAAGAAGGGAAAAAUAUUACCGAUUUAUCGGGAUUGAUUGUACCUUCAGAGUAAGCCCGGACUAACUACGUGCCAGCACG
rnacentral:rRNA from 1 species